rnacentral:sRNA from 1 species
AAAUUUAUAUAUUAUGCCGUAGACAGUAGGUGCUUAUAGCUUAAUUUCCUACCGAGGAUUUAGUAAAGCCUUUUAACUCUGCGCGCAUAAUACGCAGAGUUUUUAUAUU